rnacentral:tRNA from 1 species
GGAUGUAGCUCGGUGGUAGAGUGUGUGCUUAACAUGCAUGAGGUUCUGGGUUCAAUCCCCAGCACGUCCU